AUUGAACGCUGGCGGCAGGCCUAACACAUGCAAGUCGAGCGGAGCGGCGGACGGGUGAGUAAUGCCUAGGAAUCUGCCUGGUAGUGGGGGAUAACGUCCGGAAACGGGCGCUAAUACCGCAUACUAUCAGAUGAGCCUAGGUCGGAUUAGCUAGUUGGUGGGGUAAAGGCCUACCAAGGCGACGAUCCGUAACUGGUCUGAGAGGAUGAUCAGUCACACUGGAAAGGAGACACGGUCCAGACUCCUACGGGAGGCAGCAGGGGGGAAUAUUGGACAAGGGGCGAAAGCCUGAUCCAGCCAUGCCGCGUGGGGGAAGAAGGCCUUCGGGUUGUAAAGCACUUUCAGCGGGGAGGCGUUACCCGCAGACGAAGCACCGGCUAACUCCGUGCCAGCAGCCGCGGUAAGAC
rnacentral:rRNA from 1 species